GUCUGUUCUCUACUCGCAAGUGAAAUAAUGUGCUUUCGGUUCUCUGAAAAAUCACAGUAGAAUAUCUCUUUAGUUGUGACUACCACUCUAUUUAUGACUUUUUUGGACAUGGAAAGCAAUUCUUACUACAAGAUUUGCUAAACAAUCUGCUAUUUGCAUAAUUCACCAGACCAUGGUCUCAUCACAAUGAUGUAUUAUGAUAUUAAUGAAUAUUCAUUGUCAGACACUUGAAACUACAAAAAUCAGGAAACUGCUGAAAUGACACCACAGCAAGAGCAACUUCUAGAUAGCAUGUGCAUGCGAAAUAACGCACGUUGCAACCUUCUACCGCUUGAAUAGGCCAGGGAACAUUUUUAAUAAAAAUUUCAGCAAACCGGUGGACUCAUCCUGCUCAGGUCAAUGGCUAUAAUGUUGCUUUCUUGUUUUGUGAGCCUCGUUAAUUCUGCUGAAUG